rnacentral:rRNA from 1 species
GACGAACGCUGGCGGCGUGCUUAACACAUGCAAGUCGAGCGAUGAAGCUCCUUCGGGAGUGGAUUAGCGGCGGACGGGUGAGUAACACGUGGGUAACCUGCCUCAUAGAGGGGAAUAGCCUUUCGAAAGGAAGAUUAAUACCGCAUAAGAUUGUAGCUUCGCAUGAAGCAGCAAUUAAAGGAGUAAUCCGCUAUGAGAUGGACCCGCGUCGCAUUAGCUAGUUGGUGAGGUAACGGCUCACCAAGGCGACGAUGCGUAGCCGACCUGAGAGGGUGAUCGGCCACAUUGGGACUGAGACACGGCCCAGACUCCUACGGGAGGCAGCAGUGGGGAAUAUUGCACAAUGGGGGAAACCCUGAUGCAGCAACGCCGCGUGAGUGAUGACGGUCUUCGGAUUGUAAAACUCUGUCUUCAGGGACGAUAAUGACGGUACCUGAGGAGGAAGCCACGACUAACUACGUGCCAGCAGCCGCGGUAACAC